UGUGGUAUUGAGAAUUAAAUUUUCUUGUAAAAUUUAAUUUUCGUCCCAAAU
rnacentral:pre_miRNA from 1 species